AAAAUGAAUCAAAACUUUCAACAACGGAUCUCUUGGUUCUGGCAUCGAUGAAGAACGCAGCGAAAUGCGAUAAGUAAUGUGAAUUGCAGAAUUCAGUGAAUCAUCGAAUCUUUGAACGCACAUUGCGCCCGCCAGUAUUCUGGCGGGCAUGCCUGUCCGAGCGUCAUUUCAA
rnacentral:rRNA from 1 species